AGAGAAAAAGUAUUUGAAAAUCCAUUUUCUUACCCUCUACUGAGACCACUGAAGAUACAGAAUAGGCUGAUUUGGUUGAAUCAUAUGAAUUGACCUACAAAACUCACCAAAUCCUUGUGAUGACAUUUUUCACUUGCCUAAUGCUGUGUAUUUUGUUAAUCUUUUUCUAUAAAAAGCUGUUCUUCUCUUGCUAGAGUAUAUUCUGCAUAUCAAAAGUAAAGACAUUGAUUAUG